rnacentral:lncRNA from 1 species
GGGGGCUGCCUGAGAGUGAACGGGGUGAAGACGUCAGCCUAGACAGAUAGCCCUCCCUGCUCCAUCCGCUGGCAUCAAUCUGCACUGAAGUCGGUGCUGCACGCAGCGGCGCAGCCGAGGCUCUGACCUUCACCUUGCAGCACCACGGAGGCAUCGACACCCAAGCACUCUGAUUGCAUCUGAGGAAGGCAAAAGUCACCUUCGUUUCAGAAGUAUGGAAAGAUCUAUGUUAAAAGAAGGAUGCCUGCACUCGCUUGAUUGAAAAAAACAAAACAGAGGAAG